AACCUGGUUGAUCCUGCCAGUAGUCAUAUGCUUGUCUCAAGGAUUAAGCCAUGCAUGUUCCAGUAUGAGUUUUUGUAUAACGAAACUGCGAAGGGCUCAUUAAAUCGGUUAUUAAACAAUCGACGAUUCACAUAUGGUUAUCCGUGUCAAUUCUACGGUUAAUACAUGCUUUGCCACUUUGUGGUGCCUUUAUUUCGACUAUGGCUACCAGCUUCGGCUGAGCGUCGUGAGGAAAUUAUCUGUGCUUAUCGUUCUUCGGAAAGAAGCGUCGAAGUUAUUUCCGCCCUAUCAGCUUUCGUCGGUAACGUAGUGGUUUACCGUGGCGGUGACGGGUAACGGGGAAUUAGGGUUUGACUCCGGAGAGGGAGCCUGAGAAACGGCUACCACAUCUAAGGAUGGCAGCAGGCGCGCGAAUUACCCAAUCCUAUACUAGGGAGGUAGCGACAAGAAAUAACAACAUAGGUAUUUAUAUUUAUGAUUGGAAUGAGGGGACCGCAGCGUAUUCCUCGAAAGCCAUUGGAGGGCAAGACUGGUGCCAGCAGCCGCGGUAAUUCCAGCUCCAACAGCGUAUAUUAAAGUUGCUGCAGUUAAAACGCUCGUAGUUGUUGUCCAACUGUACGUCGAACUUCGCAAGAAGUACGUCUCCACAGUUUAGCGGAACUA
rnacentral:rRNA from 1 species